rnacentral:rRNA from 1 species
UACGUAGGGUGCGAGCGUUGUCCGGAAUUAUUGGGCGUAAAGAGCUCGUAGGCGGUGUGUCACGUCGAUCGUGAAAACUUACAGCUUAACUGUGAGCGUGCGGUCGAUACGGGCAUCACUGGAGUUCGGCAGGGGAGACUGGAAUUCCUGGUGUAGCGGUGAAAUGCGCAGAUAUCAGGAGGAACACCGGUGGCGAAGGCGGCAUCCUGGACCGGUAUUGACACUGAGGCGCGAAAGCCAGGGGAGCAAACGGG